rnacentral:rRNA from 1 species
GGAGUUUGGACCGUGUCUCAGUUCCAAUGUGGCCGAUUACCCUCUCAGGUCGGCUACUGAUCGUCGCUUUGGUAGGCCGUUACCCCUACCAACUGGCUAAUCAGACGCAGGUCCAUCCUUUGCCGAUAAAUCUUUGGCAGCCUCGCCAUGUGACCAGACUGCAUUAUGUGGUAUUAAUCCAGGUUUCCCUAGGCUAUCCCUCUGCAAAGGGCAGGUUACCUACGCGUUACUCACCCGUCCGCCGCUAUCCAUCUCUUAUUUCUGCCGAAAGCUUAUUUCCGAGAUUUCCCGCUCGACUUGCAUGUGUUAGGCACGCCGCCAGCGUUCAUC